rfam:&apos;Deinococcus soli&apos; Cha et al. 2014 strain N5, complete genome.
GGGGGUGACCCGGUUUCGACAGGGGAACUGCAGGCGCUGUUGCGUGUCGAGGUGCCGUUGGCCUCGUAAACAAACGGCAAAGCCAUUAACUGGCAACCAGAACCUCCCUCUCGCUGCUUAAGUGAGACAGUGACCGCGAAGCCCGGCCUUUGGCGCCGCGCGAACUGAACCAAAAGAAGGCUAGCCAACGCAAGGUUCCAUAGCGGGACGCGAAACUACAUGGAAAUAAGGCAAAGGGGAGGCGCGCCCACCAGUCGCCCCCAGCCCGACAAUCAAACUGUGGGAUACACACGUAGACGCACGCUGAACGGACUCUUGGACGGCGGUUCGACUCCGCCCACCUCCACCA